rnacentral:rRNA from 1 species
AUUGAACGCUGGCGGCAGGCCUAACACAUGCAAGUCGAGCGGAGCGGCGGACGGGUGAGUAAUGCCUAGGAAUCUGCCUGGUAGUGGGGGAUAACGUCCGGAAACGGGCGCUAAUACCGCAUACUAUCAGAUGAGCCUAGGUCGGAUUAGCUAGUUGGUGGGGUAAAGGCCUACCAAGGCGACGAUCCGUAACUGGUCUGAGAGGAUGCUCAGGAACACUGGAACUGAGACCAGGUCCAGACUCCUACGGUAGGCAGCAGUGGGGAAUAUUGGACAAUGGGCGAAAGCCUGAUCCAGCCAUGCCGCGUGAGGGAUGACGGCCUUCGGGUUGUAAAGCACUUUAAGUUGGGAGGCGUUACCAACAGAAUAAGCACCGGCUAACUUCGUGCCAACAGCCGCGGUAAUAC